UACGAAGGGGGCUAGCGUUGCUCGGAAUCACUGGGCGUAAAGGGUGCGUAGGCGGGUUUUAAGUCAGAGGUGAAAUCCUGGAGCUCAACUCCAGAACUGCCUUGAUACUGAAAGUCUUGAGUAUGGGAGAGGUGAGUGGAACUGCGAGUGUAGAGGUGAAAUUCGUAGAUAUUCGCAAGAACACCAGUGGCGAAGGCGGCUCACUGGCCCAUAACUGACGCUGAGGCACGAAGCGUGGGAGCAACAGG
rnacentral:rRNA from 1 species